AAUCAACGCUGGCGGCGUGCCUAACACAUGCAAGUCGCACGAGAAAGCGGACUUCGGUCUGCAAGUACAGUGGCGCACGGGUGAGUAACACGUGAAUUAUCUACCUUCGAGUGGGGAAUAACCUCGGGAAACCGAGGCUAACACCGCAUAACACUUACGAGUCAAAGCAGCAAUGCGCUUGAAGAGGAGUUCGAGGCAGAUUAGUUAGUUGGCGGGGUAAUGGCCCACCAAGACGAUGAUCUGUAUCCGACCUGAGAGGGCGCACGGACAAACUGGAACUGAAACACGGUACAGACUCCGGCGGGAGGCAGCAGUGGGGAAGUUUGCGCAAUGGGGGAAACCCUGACGCAGCAACGCCGCGUGGAGGAUGAAAGCCCUUGGGAUGUAAACUCCUUUCGAUCAGGACGAUUAUGACGGUACCGGAAGAAGAAGCCCCGGCUAACUUCGUGCCAGCAGCCGCCGUAA
rnacentral:rRNA from 1 species